AUGCCGAACUGGGAGGAGUGGUCUUUUUUUGAGGAUCCGGAAGUGGAUGCCCAUUCUGCAAUGUUGCAACUGCUGCCCCGUUUAGUGCUUUUGAAACUCGAUGGUUGCCCGAAGCUGAGGGCUCUCCCGCGGCAGCUUGGAGAGGUCGCUGCCAGCUUGAAGGAGCUUAGAUUAAUUGGAACAAACAACUUGAAGGCCCUGGAGGACUUCCCACUGCUCUCGGUUCUCCUUAUACAGAAUUGUACAAGCCUGGAGUUGAUUUCCAACCUCCCUCGAGUGACAGACAUGUGUGCACAUGGCUGUCCAAACUUAAGCCAUGUAGAGGGGUUGGGUAGUUUGCAGCAGCUGGGGCUGGGCGUGGAUAUGCAAGAGAUCUCUUCCCACUGGCUGCCUCAGCUUCGAAAACAGAACCAGCGAGUUCAUGGCGAAGACCUGGAUGUCUACGCGCUGUCUACCAGUUAUAUGGCAAUGAAAGCACAAGUUUACUUCAGCGGGCAAAGCAUGAGACAUGCUAAGUUGAGGAAGCCUGUCAAUACUGAAGACGCAAAGUUUCUUCCUAUUUUUCUGUGGCAGGUGCCCUUCAAAUACUGUAUUGCAUUUCAUUUUGCUUAUUUCUAA
rnacentral:rRNA from 1 species